rnacentral:rRNA from 1 species
GAUGAACGCUGGCGGCGUGCCUAAUACAUGCAAGUCGAGCGAACGGACGAGAAGCUUGCUUCUCUGAUGUUAGCGGCGGACGGGUGAGUAACACGUGGAUAACCUACCUAUAAGACUGGGAUAACUUCGGGAAACCGUAGCUAAUACCGGAUAAUAUUUUGAACCGCAUGGUUCAAAAGUGAAAGACGGUCUUGCUGUCACUUCUAGAUGGAUCCGCGCUGCAUUAGCUAGUUGGUAAGGUAACGGCUUACCAAGGCAACGAUGCAUAGCCGACCUGAGAGGGUGAUCGGCCACACUGGAACUGAGACACGGUCCAGACUCCUACGGGAGGCAGCAGUAGGGAAUCUUCCGCAAUGGGCGAAAGCCUGACGGAGCAACGCCGCGUGAGUGAUGAAGGUCUUCGGAGCGUAAAACUCUGUUAUUAGGGAAGAACAUAUGUGGAAGUAACUGUGCACAUCUUGACGGUACCUAAUCAGAAAGCAACGGCUAACUACGUG